rnacentral:lncRNA from 1 species
AAGAAAACAUGUACGCUUGCAAGCUUGGUUAAAAUGUGUGAAAAUCAAUGAUACAUAUCAAGGUAGCUUAUUUAAAUCAAUGAUCAGGUUCAUAUUUAUUACGUCUUAGGUUUUAUUAGGUAAGUAGAGACUUAUGUUUUAAUUAGGUAAGUAGAGACUUAUGUUUUAAUUAUUCUUGUUGGUAUUAUCCUUUAUUCGUAAAAGCUAGAAUUCAUAUUUGUAUGUCUAUCAUCUUCUGAAAUACAUUCAUAUUGUUUGGUGGAAGUUUGAUGUAUAUUUUUGAAUUUACUUUGAUUAGUUUUCUUAAGACUUUUGUUGUGCUUAGGAGAGAAUUUGAUUAAUGUGCUUCUAAAGGAUUGUGGACUAUGUUGCAUGGGUUGGGGUAUGAGUGUCAAGUGCAGGUGUUUGUCUAAUUGUUCAAUCCUUCAUAACUCAAAUUUUAGGUUGUGAAGACUUGGCUAAAAAUGAUCCUAAAAAGGGGCAUGGACACCUUUUCCCUCUAAAAAAAAAUCAAUUAAAAUAAAUUGACAUGAAAAUAAAUUGACAAUGAAAAUAAAUUGACAAUGAAAAUAUCCUAUUUAAAAGCUCCCACCUUAAGGUACCCUAGGUACUACCUUAGCUAAACAUGAACUCAACCUCUCCCAAGCCUUGGGUCUUCCUUUGUGACCCUUAGAGCAUCCCAUUAUGUGGUUCUCUUGAGUGCUCAGGUGGUCCACCAAUGGUUUUUUGGGACUGUACCUUAGGUACACCUUAAUGACCUUUAAGUAUUACCUUAAGAGACCCUAGGUACUACCUUAACUAAACUUGAACUCAACCUCUCCCAAGCCUCGGGCUUUCCUUUGUGAGCCUUAGAGCAUCUCAUUAUGUGGUUCUCUUGAGUGCUCAAGUGGUCCACCAAAGGUUUUUUGCAAUUGUACCUUAGGUACUACCUUAAGAGCCCUUAGGUACUACCUUAAUGGCCUUUAGGUACUACCUUAAGGGACCCUAGGUACUACCUUAGCUAAACAUGAACUCAACCUCUCCCAAGCCUCGGGUCUUCCUUUGUGACCCUUAGAGCAUCCCAUUAUGCGGUUCUCUUGAGUGCUCAAGAGGUUCAUCAAAGGUUUUUUGGGACUGUACCUUAAGUACUACCUUAAGGGCCCUUAGGUACUACCUUAAUGACCUUUAGGUACUAGCUUAAGGGACCCUAGGUACUACCUUAAGGUAAACAUGAACUCAACCUCUCCCAAGCCUCGGGCCUUCUUUUGUGACCCUUAAAGCAUCCCAUUAUGUGGUUCUCUUGAGUGCUCAAGUGGUCUACCAAUGGUUUUUUGGGACUGUACCUUAGGUACUACCUUAAGGGCCCUUAGGUACUACCUUAAUGGCCCUUAGGUACUACCUUAAGGGACCCUAGUUAUUACCUUAGCUAAACAUGAACUCAACCUCUCCCA